GACGAACGCUGGCGGCGUGCUUAACACAUGCAAGUCGAGCGGUAAGGCCCUUUCGGGGGUACACGAGCGGCGAACGGGUGAGUAACACGUGGGUGACCUGCCCUCAGCUCUGGGAUAAGCCUGGGAAACCGGGUCUAAUACUGGAUAUGACUCCAUGACGCAUGUUGUGGGGUGGAAAGCCUUGUGCGGCUGAGGAUGGGCCCGCGGCCUAUCAGCUUGUUGGUGGGGUGANGGCCUACCAAGGCGACGACGGGUAGCCGGCCUGAGAGGGCGACCGGCCACACUGGGACUGAGACACGGCCCAGACUCCUACGGGAGGCAGCAGUGGGGAAUCUUGCGCAAAUGGGCGAAAAGCCUGACGCAGCGACGCCGCGUGAGGG
rnacentral:rRNA from 1 species